UGCUCUAUCAUGAGUCUGAAUGCCUGAAUACCACUUUCAAGCAAAAAAAAUUGCUGUUGAAUCUGUUUGUCCUUUAUUUUGGUAUGUUAAUCUAUUUUCCUUUCUUUGAACAGAAAAAGUAUCUUAAAUGCUUUAGUAAAAGCUGAACAUAUUUUAGUUUGGAUAUACUAGUGCACCAGGACAUAGAAUCAGAGAAUGAUAAUCAUAUCGGGAUUUGGGUUGAAAGGGACCUUAAAGAUUAUCUAGUUCUGACCCUGCUCAAUCCAGAUACUUCACACCCCAGUCCUUAUUAAUACAUUAGUAGUACAGAACCCCAAGCUUGACUUCAUCUAUUAAGUGGUAACAUCCUAGACACCCACACCUACAAAAGACUCCUCUAUCCCUGUAAUAAGGAGCUAGGGUGAGAAGUUGGUCCAACACAAGUCACCAUAUUCUGGAUCAGAAGCCAUUUUUUGUGGCCAUUGUCUGAAAGGCCUAAGUUCCAUUUCUGACAUCCCAGUAGGACCUGCUAAAAAUGGAUACAACAAGGAGAAAAAUUAAGAUAAGCAGAGUAAGAAUCUUACAAAAAUUUGUCUCAUAAUCUUCAGGAUGUACCACAAACAUGGACAUGCAUUCAGCAAGUAGUCAAACACAGAAGCAUGGACCAUGCUUGAAGAAGAGCAGCAAGGCCUGUCUUGCUAUCUGUGUUCCCCUUGGUUCUAGUAUAUGGAAUAUUUUAUGUGAUACAAGUCUUUCUGAGAUUUCUCUGGAGCAGCAGUGAUCCUCGUUGGCCCUCCUCUGGAGCAAAGCCUAACAAUGUGAACUUGUAGUUCCUGUUCAAACACUGCACGAUGAAUACCUGAAUACUCAGAACACCCCAAAAUAUAAUAACCAUAGACUUCAUAAAAGAUGUAUGA
rnacentral:lncRNA from 1 species